CCACGUGGGGGAUGACGGCCUUCGGGAUGUAAACCCUCUUUCACCAUCGACGAAGGUCCGGGUUCUCUCGGAUUGACGGUAGGUGGAGAAGAAGCACCGGCCAACUACGUGCCAGCAGCCGCGGUAAUACGUAGGGUGCGAGCGUUGUCCGGAAUUACUGGGCGUAAAGAGCUCGUAGGUGGUUUGUCGCGUUGUUCGUGAAAUCUCACGGCUUAACUGUGAGCGUGCGGGCGAUACGGGCAGACUAGAGUACUGCAGGGGAGACUGGAAUUCCUGGUGUAGCGGUGGAAUGCGCAGAUAUCAGGAGGAACACCGGUGGCGAAGGCGGGUCUCUGGGCAGUAACUGACGCUGAGGAGCGAAAGCGUGGGGAGCGAACAGGAUUAGAUACCCUGGUAGUCCACGCCGUAA
rnacentral:rRNA from 1 species